ACCCCAAGGGAAGAAUCAGGGAAGAAGGAACGCAAGACGGUGGAAGCAUGCCAACCUAUAAAACCGCAAGUCAGAGAUCAAACCGUGUACUUGAAUCUCUCAAGUUCCCGGCUUAACCCUCUUCCAAGUAUCCUCAUUUGAAAAUGGAAAAAGAAAAGAAAUGGAGGCAUUGUGUGAUAUUUGCCUAAAUAUAACUAAAGAGAUCCAUUUAUUUCUGGUGUUUGAUUAAAAACCCUCAAAGGAAAAGAGAAAUUUUGAUCUUUGACAAGAGCUGUUUCAUCACAGGUGUCCCAGGCCUGGCUGUGCAGGGAAACUCUGGUCAAGAUCCGCUGGAAGGUGAAGUUGUUUCCUGAGCCCUUUGAUCUGGAAUGACCUUGCAACCUGGAACCAGCAGACAGCCUGAGGGAGGCAAGUGCAUGUUCUGAGCCAGGGCCUCAGGAGGCCUGCAGCUGCCAUUCUGCUUCUCUUGGAACAUGACCUCCUUGAGAACACUCCCAGGCCUGACUGCAGGGUGGGGAGACCACACAGAGCAGAGCUGAGCCACCGGGAUGAGGCCCCUAGAUCACCCAGCUCCCAGCUGACCACAGAUCAUGAGUGAUCCCGUUUCUCCCUAGGUCAAGGGUGAUGUUUUGCUCAGAGAAAACUGAAGUUUGGAUUGUUCCAGUCCUGCAUCACAUCCUGUUUCAGGCUGCCCUAAAACAAAACCAGAAACAACCACCACCACAAAACACCAUACCUUCAAUAGUCUUCUCAGUGUUCAGAAUAAAGGCUCUGGUUUUCCCUUGGGCUCAAUUUU